GGGGUACUCCCUCCGUCCCAAAAUUCUUGUCUUAGAUCUGUCUAGAUACGGAUGUAUGCAAUACUAAAACAUGACUUGAUACAUCCGUAUUUAGACAAAUCUAAGACAAGAAUUUUGGGACGGAGGGAGUACCUC
rfam:Triticum aestivum genome assembly, contig: Triticum_aestivum_CS42_TGACv1_scaffold_375676_5AL